rnacentral:rRNA from 1 species
GCUACUUGACCUAGCGGCGGACGGGUGAGUAAUGCUUAGGAAUCUGCCUAUUAGUGGGGGACAACAUCUCGAAAGGGAUGCUAAUACCGCAUACGUCCUACGGGAGAAAGCAGGGGACCUUCGGGCCUUGCGCUAAUAGAUGAGCCUAAGUCGGAUUAGCUAGUUGGUGGGGUAAAGGCCUACCAAGGCGACGAUCUGUAGCGGGUCUGAGAGGAUGAUCCGCCACACUGGGACUGAGACACGGCCCAGACUCCUACGGGAGGCAGCAGUGGGGAAUAUUGGACAAUGGGGGGAACCCUGAUCCAGCCAUGCCGCGUGUGUGAAGAAGGCCUUUUGGUUGUAAAGCACUUUAAGCGAGGAGGAGGCUACCGAGAUUAAUACUCUUGGAUAGUGGACGUUACUCGCAGAAU